GUUUGGUUUGAUACGGGUGGUCGGCUCCCUGCUUGAGCAGGCACGGCCACGCGUGCAUUCCUUUUCAGCUGUGCGACAAGGCUUGUAUCGUCUUGAUCGUAUAAGUGGGUUUCCUGUGUUGCAUACCUGAUCGAUGGCAUCGUCUUGAUCAAAAGUGUGUAUUUUUCGUCUGGCAAUGCACUUGCAUUGUCGGAUGAACCACGUAGCAUCCUCUUUGAUCCAUACAGUUGACGUGCUUUCGUUGAUUGUUUGGCCCAUUGAGCGGUGACUCGGUCUCUCGGAUAUGGAAGCCAAAGUGGGCAUGGGGUCGUAAGAUCUCUUUAUUGUCCUCACUGAGCGUUCUCACUUCUCUUACACGACCGCCUUUCACGUAUGGCACGUCUCAGCGUGUUUGGCUACGUGGAAGAGGAAUGUUGGGCGUUCUUGCUUUUCUUACACGACUGCCUUUCACGUAUGGCAUGUCCCAGCGUGU
rnacentral:misc_RNA from 1 species